rnacentral:rRNA from 1 species
UACGAAGGGGGCUAGCGUUGUUCGGAAUUACUGGGCGUAAAGCGCACGUAGGCGGACAUUUAAGUCAGGGGUGAAAUCCCAGAGCUCAACUCUGGAACUGCCUUUGAUACUGGGUGUCUUGAGUAUGAGAGAGGUAUGUGGAACUCCGAGUGUAGAGGUGAAAUUCGUAGAUAUUCGGAAGAACACCAGUGGCGAAGGCGACAUACUGGCUCAUUACUGACGCUGAGGCUCGAAAGCGUGGGGAGCAAACAGG